GGCUCAGAUUGAACGCGGGCGGCGUGCUUAACACAUGCAAGUCGAUCGGUAACAGGUGUAGCAAUACAUGCUGACGAGAGGCGGACGGGUGAGGAAUAUUUGGGAAUCUGCCCAUCAGCGGGGGACAACCCGGGGAAACUCGGGCUAAUACCGCAUACGCUCUACGGAGGAAAGCCGGGGACCGCAAGGCCUGGCACUGAUGGAUGAGCCCAAAUCGGAUUAGCUAGUUGGCGGGGUAACGGCCCACCAAGGCGACGAUCCGUAGCUGGUCUGAGAGGACGAUCAGCCACACCGGAACUGAGACACGGUCCGGACUCCUACGGGAGGCAGCAGUGGGGAAUAUUGGACAAUGGGGGAAACCCUGAUCCAGCGACGCCGCGUGGGUGAAGAAGGCCUGCGGGUUGUAAAGCCCUUUCGGUAGGGAAGAAAUCUCUUGCUCUAACAAAGCAAGGGUUUGACUUAACCUACAUAAGAAGCACCGGCUAACUCUGUGCCAGCAGCCGCGGUAAUACAGAGGGUGCGAGCGUUAAUCGGAAUUACUGGGCGUAAAGCGCACGUAGUCGGCUUGCCAAGUCGGGUGUGAAAUCCCCGGGCUCAACCUGGGAACUGCAUCCGAAACUGGCUUGCUAGAGUAUGGGAGAGGGAGGCGGAAUUUCUGGUGUAGCAGUGAAAUGCGUAGAUAUCAGAAGGAACAUCAGUGGCGAAGGCGGCCUCCUGGACCAAUACUGACGAUCAGGUGCGAAAGCGUGGGGAGCAAACAGGAUUAGAUACCCUGGUAGUCCACGCCCUAAACGAUGACAACUGGAUGUCGGGAGGGUUUGCCUUCCGGUGUCGUAGCUAACGCGUUAAGUUGUCCGCCUGGG
rnacentral:rRNA from 1 species